CCACCCCACCCCACCCACAGCCUCACUCGCAGCGCCCCUACCACGCGCAGCGCGCAGAGCUAGAUCGAGAUGGCGACGGAGCUGACGGCGGCGCAGCUGCGGGCGUACGACGGCACCGACGCGUCCAAGCCGAUCUACGUCGCCAUCCGCGGCAAGGUCUUCGACGUCUCGGCCGGGCGCGGCUUCUACGGGCCCGGCGGCGACUACGCGCUCUUCGCCGGCCGCGAGGCCGCCCGCGCGCUCGCCAAGAUGUCCAAGGACGCCGCCGACGUCUCCGGCGACCUCUCCGGCCUCUCCGACAAGGAGCUCGGCGUGCUCGCCGACUGGGAGUCCAAGUUCCAGGCCAAGUACCCCGUCGUCGCCCGCCUCGCCGCCUGAUGUCAAUGAAGUCAAUUCCGCCACCGUCACCGUCCUCAACUAGUAUCGCUUGAUUUAGCUGGAGUAUGGCUCUGUAUGAAGCAGUGCGCUGAAUGUG
rnacentral:rRNA from 1 species